AUCUCUGCCCAAAGCACCCUGAACACACUCAGUUUUACCUGAUCCAGGAGGCUCUGUACAUCUGGGCCUAGUUAGUACUUGAACAGGUGACCCCCUAGGAAAUACCAGGUAGCAUAGGAU
rnacentral:rRNA from 1 species